ensembl:lncRNA
GCGGGCGCAGCGUGUCCAGGCCCUGUGGACCCGGAAGGCGAGGGGUUUGACGCCAACGACGGCGUAACCGAGGGCGACGACGGAGAGACGCUCCUGCGCGUCAAGGUCAGCCGCGGCGGCCCCGGGAGCCGGUGGAGCAGGAGGAGCAGCAGGAGGAAACCGAGAGAGGCCCCCCCCCCGGAGCCCGAGCUGACGGCGGGACCCCCUCCCUCGCUGGGGGUCGGGGUGACGGAAGGGCACGAGCCAAUGGGAGCGCUGAUUCAUUUCACCGUCACGGGAGACGCAGACGACCAGGUGCUGAUCAGAGACAAGAAGAGAGGGAGGGAGGAGGAGGAGGAAGGAGAGGAGGAGAGGAGGCUGCGGAGGGAGCAGGAGGAAGGGAUGAAAACGUUGAAGAGGAACACCGUGAAGAACUACCGCAAGGCACUGGACCGGGCGUUCCGCCGCGGCUGGGAGGCGUUCAUCACCAACCUGUACAGCAUCACGCUCAACCCCGUCACUUCGUCCUCCACCACCACCUCCUGCACCACCCCGUCGAAGAAACACCAGAGAAGCAUUAUUUUGGCCGAGUUCCAAUAGUUGUGCUCAGACAAUGACCACGACAACAACAGCGAAACACUGCCUGUUUACUUUUUCCAAUUGAUCAGACUGUUAAUCAGAGGGGGAUGAAUGAAUGAAUCCAUCAGCGGCUACCGAAGCCGACUUCUCCACUGGUUCCGACCUCUCCACACAUUCCUUAAACUAAGCACUAUCACGCGGAACGGGUUACCGGGCCGAGGGAAAGAAUCCGUGAUGGCUGUCAUAAGGGAGAAAUAUCGCUGUGUUCCCACGCUUGCUGACCCUUAUAUGGGCGUUGGGGACCGUGCUUCCUGCCUCCCAAACCGAUGUGCUAGUUUUGUCUUUCUCAUACCUCGUUGUAGUUCUACCACGGACGGCAGGGUGUUGGGUGGGAAGGUAAUAAAUGGAAACCAAUCUUCUGUUAAUUCUGGACAGGAUUUGUUGGAGGAGGGUGUUUGUUUAAUUUAUAUCAUAGUCCAGCACUUGCAGACCUCCCGUGAAACCCUCCUGAGCACACAUUAUUGAUUCAUGUAUCAGUGGUCUGUUGAUUACUUUAAAAAAGGCCAACAAACUCAAAACUAAAGGUUAUUGGCUGAGCACGAUGACACCACCCGGUGGUUGAUGUGUAAUCGAUGACUGGGAUGGAAAAUGUGUUCCGUGGACUCCACGCUCGAACCCGGAAUAAAGGACAUGGGAUAAGGCCAUGUCCUUUAUUCCAAAUGAUCAUUUAUCGCUCGAUUUGAUCGCUAUCACUGAGGUAAUGAGUAAUGGAUUAGGGCUAUCUACGAAGGCCCCUCCAGAGCUUUUUUAAAUAGCUCAAUUUCCGCACAGCUUAACCUCGGUGUGUGAUAAAGGUGUAGAAUUGUAUAAAUUAUUGCUCAUUCCUGACUUGUCUUUUGAUUGUUACCCUUGAAUAUGUUCAUCAAAGCAACGGAAAUAUUUGAAGAACCUAGCAAACCUCAUAUAGGGGACAUGAAGGCACAGAACGAUGGUCAAGCUGCGUAUAUCUAUGUGAUUAUUAUUAUUUUUUUGCACCUAUCAAUUUGUCAUCAGUCGUAUAUUUUGUUCAAUCUUCAAUCUGUCACACUUGUGUACUUUCAUAUGUGUGUGUUUUUGUGUUACAUGAAAGAUUUAACUUUUUGGAUUCUAAUCAAAGCCUCACUGGAUGAAGAAUAAUUUUAUACUGAACCAUUUCCGUGAUAAAGUAAAGACUUAUUUAUGCAAACGUGUGAGUUUUGUUUUUGGAAACGUAUGUCAUCGUUGCCAUGACACUUGCAGCAGAACGCGAGAUUUCAACCAAUAAGAAUCCACCAUACCGAUUUUAUUUUCAAAGAAAAACGUAGGUGUUAUUUACUGGGUGUUGGGUAGAGAUGCAAACAAGGGACACGUUUUACUAAUAAUACUGCACAAGAUAAAACCAAAAUAUUUAAUUUUAAGCUCACUACGAACCGCAAAAUAUUGGAUCUGUAAAAUGGAUUUGAGUUAUUUGACGAUAUUUUGGGUACUCUGGUAUCAAAUCUAUGAUGUUUAUCCCCGCUUCAUUAUUCCCGAUAUGACUGGCAGUGGCAGUGGAUACCUGCCGCCCUCCGACAUGCCCGCCGCCAGUCAAACCUCGAUGCACCAACUCGAGGACAUAACAGCGACGCCAACUGGCCAGUUUGGGGAACUGGAUGUCACUUCAGUUUACAAGGAAUCAGGAGUCAACCGGAUCGGCAAACCAACCCGAAGCCCCUUCUCUUUGGCGGGGCCGGGCUCAUGGCUUGCCACCACCAGUCACACCACAACUCACAACCAGCCUAGGGGUCUGACCAGCAGGCCUUUGGACCAGCAGAUCAACCACCCCUCACUGGGGGAAGACGCCAGCAGUGGGGACUACAUUACCCAAGAUGCACCGCGGCCAAUGAGUCGGUUGGUGGAGGACGGCAGCGGCAGACAUGACGACAGCGCAACGCUGGGAUGAGUGACCGCAACUACAUUGAGAC